rnacentral:rRNA from 1 species
AUGGCUGGACUCACCAAGAUUCUCCUCCCACUCCUCCUCCUCCUCUCCGUCGCCGCGGCCGCUUCGCCGUCGUCGGACGCGGAGGCUGUAUCCCGGUUCCAGGAGUACCUCCGCAUCGACACGGCGCAGCCGAUGCCGGACUACGCCGCGGCGGUGGCCUUCCUCCGAGACCAGGCGGCGGCUGUUGGGCUUGAGGCGCGGACGCUGGAGUUUGCCGCCGGCAAGCCCUUGCUGCUGCUCCGGUGGCCCGGGCGGCGGCCGUCGCUUCCUUCUAUACUUCUCAACUCUCACACCGACGUCGUGCCGUCGGAGCCCAAGAAGUGGGAGCACGCGCCUCUCUCUGCCACUCUUGACGAGGCAUCCGGUCGCAUCUACGCGCGCGGCUCCCAGGACAUGAAGUGUGUGGGGAUGCAGUAUCUUGAAGCCAUUCGGCGUCUCCGUGAUGCGGGCUUUGUCCCAGAUCGGAACAUAUAUAUUAUAUUUGUUCCCGAUGAGGAGAUUGGUGGACAUGAGGGUGUUGAGCUAUUUGUUGCAUCGAACGAAUUCAAGGAGCUGAAUGUGGGAUUGGUUCUUGACGAGGGACUUGCAUCCCCUAGGGAGGAGUACCGGGUGUUCUAUGCAGAACGUAGUCCUUGGUGGCUUACUAUUAAAGCAAAGGGAGCGCCAGGGCAUGGUGCAAAAUUGUAUGAUGGUAGUGCAAUGGAGAAUUUAAUGAAAAGUGUGGAGGCUCUUCGGAGGUUCAGGACAGCUCAGUUUGAUUUGGUUAAGUCCGGAGAGAAAGCUGAAGGGGACGUUGUAUCGGUGAAUUUUGCGUACUUGAAGGCUGGGACACCUACACCCACGGGUUUUGUGAUGAAUCUACAACCAUCUGAAGCAGAGGUAGGAAUUGACAUUCGAAUCCCUCCUAGUGUUCAUACUGAAGCACUAGAGAAGCGUCUUGCUGAAGAAUGGGCACCUUCUUCACGCAACUUGACUUUCGAGUUCAAACAAAAGGGCUCUGUCCUUGACAAGUUAGGGAAGCCAGCCAUGACAAUUGCUGACAGCUCGAACCCAUGGUGGCCUGUGUUUGAAGAAUCUGUGAAGCGAGCUGGUGGCAAACUUGGCAAGCCGGAGAUAUUUCCGGCUUCUACUGAUGCUCGUUAUUUCCGGGAAAUUGGGAUACCAGCUUUUGGCUUUUCCCCUAUGGCGAACACACCAGUACUGCUCCAUGAUCAUAACGAGUUCCUGAGCAAAGAUGAGUACCUCAAAGGAAUUGGGAUAUACGAGUCCAUUAUAAAGGCGCUGGCCACACAUAAAGAUGACGGCAUCGACGAGGAGUCUAGGGCAGAACUGUGA